ensembl:snRNA U1 U1 spliceosomal RNA
UUACUUACCUGGCAGGAGAGAGAGCGGAAGGCUCAGCCAUUGCACUCUGGUUGUGCUGACCGCUGGGAAUAUCUUGACUGCAUCAUUCCUGGUAGUGGGGGACUGCCUUUC